rnacentral:rRNA from 1 species
GUGCCAGCAGCCGCGGUAAUACGUAGGGGGCAAGCGUUGUCCGGAAUUAUUGGGCGUAAAGCGCGCGCAGGCGGCUUGUUAAGUCUGGUGUAUAAGCUCAAGGCUCAACCUUGGGAGGCACCGGAAACUGGGGAGCUGGAGUGCAGGAGAGGAGAGUGGAAUUCCACGUGUAGCGGUGAAAUGCGUAGAGAUGUGGAGGAACACCAGUGGCGAAGGCGACUCUCUGGCCUGCAACUGACGCUGAGGCGCGAAAGCGUGGGGAGCAAACAGGAUUAGAUACCCUGGUAGUCC